AGAACUACACAACUUUUAAUGCUGACAAUGGAGCAACUGGAAUAGUUAGAGAUAGUGUCUAUCUUGGUUCAAUCAUCAAUCCAAAUGGAGACUGCAGCCAGGAAAUCAGAAGACAACAGAGACUAGGAAGGGCAUCAAUCCAGAAACUAGAUUGGAUUUCCCCAAGCCAGUUGCUAAAGGGCACUUUUCUGGAGGACCCACUUUGGGGUUAUAUAACUUGGAUGUCUGAACACUAAUCUUCACCAAGCUUGGAGGGAUUGUAGUGGGGAGUCAUUAGAAGCUUGCCUGUAAUGUUGGUGUCUCUAGGUGCCUUGGGGGGGUGACUUUCUGGGGGGGCUCCCUUUGGGUUUAGAAUUUGAAUGUCCAAAACUCAAACUUCACCAAACCAAACCUAGAAGAUUUGUAGAGGGGAGUCAGGGGAAGCUUCUCUGUGAAUCUGGUGUCUUUAGGAGGUUGGGGACCAUUUCAUAGGGUUUUAAAUUCUAAAAUGAAUUGACAAAUCAGUUUGUCAGUUCAUCAGAGAAAAAUUGUAAAUUCAGAAUUUGUCAAUCUUGACAAAUUACAAAUCAAAAUGAAUUACCAUUUUUCUGAUUUGUGCCCGUUUCCACAAGAUUGUUCUGCAUGUGUCAUGUGUGAUAACCCUUCUCUUUUGCCUCCAUGACUUGUUGAUUUUGUCCUCUACUCUCUUUCCUUUCCUUUUCCUUUCCUUUCCUUUCCUUUCCUAUGUUUUCCUUUUCUUUUCUUCCUCCCUCCCUCCCUUCGCAGCAAAUGCCAUCUGGUGUCACAGAUGCCCAAAGUCAGAGAGCUGUCUAGAACCACCAGGAUUCUGUUGGGCAGACGAGGGAGCUGGCUGUUACACAGGGAAUCUCUACAUUGGGAAUACAAAGAUUCAGUCUUUUGCUGGUUGUUUCCAGGACUGCAAAAGUGGGAAAUCCAAGUAUGGUUGGAUUUCCUGAGGUACAUCCAGAUGCAACUCUUACACAGCUCUCAACCACUUAUUUCCAUUGAGUCUUCUGAGGAACGUCUCCAAAACAGAGACUUUGAGGAGCAGCCGAGAUCCUCUGCUAUCAUGAAGCAGCCACCCUGUCCUCCUGGAAGCUCCUCUGAAAUGGGUCCGCACCUCGAGCAGUCCUCUGUUGGGAAGGCUGUGGGCCCUGAUCUCAACCCGUCUGCUUAGGAAAGCUAUUUUCUAAAGAUGAUUUUAAGUACAAAGAUGCUCCACCAACUUUUACAGACUCAGAAAAAUGAAUGAGACAACGUGAGCUCCUGUUUCUAUGGCAUCACAGGAAGAUUAACGGAAGCCCGUCGAAUCUUAUAGCACAUAAAUUCCAAUAAUGCACGCAUGAAAAUAGGGAAAUGUUGGGGAAAAGAUGAUUCUCACACUAAGAAUGGAUGUCAGGAGACAUGAGAAUCCUCUGCUGUCUCUUGUUUGCUCUGCAGGAUCCACAGUCAAUCCAGUGUUCUCUAUACAAGUGGAAAUAUGAGACACCAGAUGGCCAUCGGCCCUUCUGUAAGAGGCGGAUGGGAGCCGCAGCCUUAUACAUUUCUAUAGAUCUAGGUUGCCUGCUCCAAAUAUGGAAAGGGACCCUUGAGGACGUCUCUUUGAGCUUCCAAAAUUAAAACACCAAUAUAAAACCCACAGCUGGGAAACGUUCUUACUUUGUUGUCAAUGUGCU
ensembl:lncRNA